rnacentral:rRNA from 1 species
AUUCUGGCUCAGGAUGAACGCUGGCGGCGUGCUUAACACAUGCAAGUCGAACGGGAUCCAUCAGGCUUUGCUUGGUGGUGAGAGUGGCGAACGGGUGAGUAAUGCGUGACCGACCUGCCCCAUACACCGGAAUAGCUCCUGGAAACGGGUGGUAAUGCCGGAUGCUCCGACUCCUCGCAUGGGGUGUCGGGAAAGAUUUCAUCGGUAUGGGAUGGGGUCGCGUCCUAUCAGGUAGUCGGCGGGGUAACGGCCCACCGAGCCUACGACGGGUAGCCGGCCUGAGAGGGCGACCGGCCACAUUGGGACUGAGAUACGGCCCAGACUCCUACGGGAGGCAGCAGUGGGGAAUAUUGCACAAUGGGCGCAAGCCUGAUGCAGCGACGCCGCGUGCGGGAUGACGGCCUUCGGGUUGUAAACCGCUUUUGAUCGGGAGCAAGCCUUCGGGUGAGUGUACCUUUCGAAUAAGCACCGGCUAACUACGUGCCAGCAGCCGCGGUAAUACGUAGGGUGCAAGCGUUAUCCGGAAUUAUUGGGCGUAAAGGGCUCGUAGGCGGUUCGUCGCGUCCGGUGUGAAAGUCCAUCGCUUAACGGUGGAUCUGCGCCGGGUACGGGCGGGCUGGAGUGCGGUAGGGGAGACUGGAAUUCCCGGUGUAACGGUGGAAUGUGUAGAUAUCGGGAAGAACACCAAUGGCGAAGGCAGGUCUCUGGGCCGUUACUGACGCUGAGGAGCGAAAGCGUGGGGAGCGAACAGGAUUAGAUACCCUGGUAGUCCACGCCGUAAACGGUGGAUGCUGGAUGUGGGGCCCGUUCCACGGGUUCCGUGUCGGAGCUAACGCGUUAAGCAUCCCGCCUGGGGAGUACGGCCGCAAGGCUAAAACUCAAAGAAAUUGACGGGGGCCCGCACAAGCGGCGGAGCAUGCGGAUUAAUUCGAUGCAACGCGAAGAACCUUACCUGGGCUUGACAUGUUCCCGACAGCCGUAGAGAUAUGGCCUCCCUUCGGGGCGGGUUCACAGGUGGUGCAUGGUCGUCGUCAGCUCGUGUCGUGAGAUGUUGGGUUAAGUCCCGCAACGAGCGCAACCCUCGCCCUGUGUUGCCAGCACGUCAUGGUGGGAACUCACGGGGGACCGCCGGGGUCAACUCGGAGGAAGGUGGGGAUGACGUCAGAUCAUCAUGCCCCUUACGUCCAGGGCUUCACGCAUGCUACAAUGGCCGGUACAACGGGAUGCGACACGGCGACGUGGAGCGGAUCCCUGAAAACCGGUCUCAGUUCGGAUUGGAGUCUGCAACCCGACUCCAUGAAGGCGGAGUCGCUAGUAAUCGCGGAUCAGCAACGCCGCGGUGAAUGCGUUCCCGGGCCUUGUACACACCGCCCGUCAAGUCAUGAAAGUGGG